UAGGGAAUCUUCGGCAAUGGGGGGAACCCUGACCGAGCAACACCGCGUGAGUGAAGAAGGUUUUCGGAUCGUAAAGCUCUGUUGUUAAGGAAGAACGAGUGUGAGAAUGGAAAGUUCAUACUGUGACGGUACUUAACCAGAAAGGGACGGCUAACUACGUGCCAGCAGCCGCGGUAAUACGUAGGUCCCGAGCGUUGUCCGGAUUUAUUGGGCGUAAAGCGAGCGCAGGCGGUUAGAUAAGUCUGAAGUUAAAGGCAGUGGCUCAACCAUUGUAGGCUUUGGAAACUGUUUAACUUGAGUGCAGAAGGGGAGAGUGGAAUUCCAUGUGUAGCGGUGAAAUGCGUAGAUAUAUGGAGGAACACCGGUGGCGAAAGCGGCUCUCUGGUCUGUAACUGACGCUGAGGCUCGAAAGCGUGGGUAGCAAACAGG
rnacentral:rRNA from 1 species